GAUGAACGCUGGCGGCGUGCCUAAUACAUGCAAGUCGAGCGAACGGACGAGGAGCUUUCUUCACUGAUGUUAGCGGCGGACGGGUGAGUAACACGUGGAUAACCUACCUAUAAGACUGGGAUAACUUCGGGAAACCGGAGCUAAUACCGGAUAAUAGUUUGAACCUCAUGGUUCAAAAGUGAAAGACGGUCUUGCUGUCACUUAUAGAUGGAUCCGCGCUGCUUUAGCUAGGUGGUAAGGUAACGGCUUACCAAGGCAACGAUGCAUAGCCGACCUGAGAGGGGGAGCAGCCACACUAGAACUGAGACACGAUCCAGACUCCUACGGGAGGCAGCGGUGCGGAAUCGUCCGCAAUGGGCGAAAGCCUAGCGGAGCAACGCCGCGUGAGUGAUGAAGGUCUUCGGAUCGUAAAACUCUGUUAUUAGGGAAGAACAUAUGUGUAAGUAACUGUGCAGAUCUUGACGGUACCUAAUCAGAAAGCCACGGCUAACUACGUG
rnacentral:rRNA from 1 species